CAAUAGCGUAUAUUUAAGUUGCUGCAGUUAAAAAGCUCGUAGUUGGAUUUCGGGUGGGAAUGGCCGGUCCGCCGUUUCGGUGUGCACUUGCUACGCCCACCUUGCUGCCGGGGACGUGCUCUUGAGUUCACGCUCGGGACACGGAGUCGGCGAGGUUACUUUGAGUAAAUUAGAGUGUUCAAAGCAGGCCUACGCGCUGAAUACAUUAGCAUGGAAUAACACGAUAGGACUCUGGCCUAUCUUGUUGGUCUGUAGGACCGGAGUAAUGAUUAAGAGGGACAGUCGGGGGCAUUCGUAUUUCAUUGUCAGAGGUGAAAUUCUUGGAUUUAUGAAAGACGAACUACUGCGAAAGCAUUUGCCAAGGAUGUUUUCAUUAA
rnacentral:rRNA from 1 species